rnacentral:lncRNA from 1 species
CCGGCUUGCAUCCAUAUGGUGUUAAUAAGCUGGUGACAGUUUGAGCCUUUGAGGGUAUAACUCAUGUAGCAUUCAUAUUUCUUAUGUUGUGUGAAUUUCUCGUGGUAUCUUUAAUAUUGCUACCGUUGCCUCUAUCGGACUGUAAAUUUUGGGAUUCUGGACUAGUUUGUGUUUGUUUUAGAAUCCAAAGCUCAUUUCUAUCACAUUGCAGGAUCUGCAUGGGAACCUUGAGACAGAACAACUCAAAGAAGAGGGACAAAGAGCUGUUUCUUGAAUUAAGAGGGAAUUGAUGAGUUGUUACUACUAUGCUUUGUGGUAUUGAUGGCUUCUGCUUCCUUCUUCUAAUUGCAGGCCUACAUAUUACAGGUUUGUUCGUUGUCGCUGAAACUCUUGACAAUGCAGGGCCAUGUUCCAUUUUAUUGAGAGACGAUGUUAUCUUGUUUUCUCAUCAAAGGCACAGGAUAAGUUGGUGAAGAUGGUAUGAGUUGUAAAGUUGUUGCGAAUUUUUCGUUCCAUCGCCCCCUUCUUCUGUGUCGAUGUAGGUAUGGUGUUCCUUAUAGUUUCUUGAAUUUGUUGUAUUGAAAUUGUUGAUCUUGUAUAUCAAAAUUGGUGAGGAUUCAUCUAAACAUCAUUCUUUUUGUCAAUGUAUAUGGGGUUGUAUUUUUGCUUGUUUUGUUUGGAUUACUCAUAAUUCAUCUCUGGAAUUAUUGCACACAAGUGUUGUAUCACAUGCGAUGCACAAAUUAACAAAUAAUUAACAAAUUUUCAUUGCCGAUAAUUAACAAUGUACAAAUUCAUCAACCGAUUAAAGCCUUUGUUCAAUUUGAAUUUUGGAUAAACUCAAAGUAAUUAGUAGUUUAGAACACAUAAACGAUGUUAGAUAUAUUGCUUGAUGCUCUCUUCGUCCCAAAUUUUUACCCCUUUUGUCAUUUUAAUCCAUUCAAUACAUGAUG